GAUGAACGCUGGCGGCGUGCCUAAUACAUGCAAGUCGAGCGAACAGAUGAGAGCUUGCCUCCCCGACGUUAGCCGCCGACGGGGGAGUAACAAGUGGGUUACCUACCUAUUAGAACGGGAUAAAUUCGGGGAAACGGAGGUAAUAACGGAAUAUUAUAUUAAACCGAUGGGUUAAUUGUGGAAGGCGGUUUUGCCGUUACCUAUAGAAGGAUUCCGCGCCGCAUUAGCUAGUUGGUAAGGUAACGGCUUACCAAGGCAACGAUGCGUAGCCGACCUGAGAGGGUGAUCGGCCACACUGGAACUGAGACACGGUCCAGACUCCUACGGGAGGCAGCAGUAGGGAAUCUUCCGCAAUGGGCGAAAGCUUGACGGAGCAACGCCGCGUGAGUGAUGAAGGUCUUCGGAUCGUAAAACUCUGUUAUUAGGGAAGAACAAAUGUGUAAGUAACUAUGCACGUCUUGACGGUACCUAAUCAGAAAGCCACGGCUAACUACGUG
rnacentral:rRNA from 1 species